rnacentral:pre_miRNA from 1 species
AAAAAAACAAACCCUAGGUUUCUGUGUCCAAUGUUUGACUAUCCGUUUUAUAUGAAAUUUUUUAUAAUUAGUAUUUUCAUUGUUGUUAGAUGAUAAAACAUGAUUAGUACUUUAUGCGUGACUUGUCUUUUUAAAAUUUUUUCAUAUUUUUUUCAAAUAAGACGGACGGUCAAACGUUGGACACGGAAACCAGAGUUUGUCUUUUUU